rnacentral:rRNA from 1 species
UACAGAGGGUGCAAACGUUGCUCGGAAUUAUUGGGCGUAAAGCGCACGUAGGCGGUUCGUUAAGUCGACUGUGAAAUCCCUUGGCUCAACCAAGGACGUGCAGUCGAUACUGGCAAACUAGAAUCUCGGAGAGGAUAGCGGAACUCCCAGUGUAGAGGUGAAAUUCGUAGAUAUUGGGAAGAACACCGGUGGCGAAGGCGGCUAUCUGGACGAGUAUUGACGCUAAGGUGCGAAAGCGUGGGGAUCAAACAGG